AUACGGAGGGUCCGAGCGUUAAUCGGAAUUACUGGGCGUAAAGCGCGCGUAGGUGGUUCAGUCAGUCAGAUGUGAAAGCCCCGGGCUCAACCUGGGAACUGCACCUGAUACUGCUGAGCUAGAGUACGGUAGAGGGCAGUGGAAUUUCCGGUGUAGCGGUGAAAUGCGUAGAGAUCGGAAGGAACACCAGUGGCGAAGGCGACUGCCUGGACUGAUACUGACACUGAGGUGCGAAAGCUUGGUAGCAAACAGGAUUAGAUCCCCUGGUAGUCCACGCCGUAAACGAUGUCAACUAGCCGUUGGGGGACUUGAUCCUUUAGUGGCGAAGCUAACGCGAUAAGUUGACCGCCUGGGGAGUACGGCCGCAAGGUUAAAACUCAAAUGAAUUGGCGGGG
rnacentral:rRNA from 1 species